GACCCAACCGCCGCUAAUGGGGAAAGGGGGGGCGGGGGGGGAAGAGAGGGAAGGAGGGAGAGAGAGAGAGGGAAAUGUCACCCGGAGCCCGGGCCCGCGGGGGAGAGGUGGCGCGUUAGAGAUGUGUGUGGGAGAGAGGGAGCGAGAGAGAGGGAGAGAGAGGGGGAGCGAGACCUCCGCUGGCCCCGCGAACUUGUCAAGCAGAAGAGUGACCAAGUGGUCUUCUCCACAGCAGCCAUGAACUUCAACCUUGAACUGAAGAAGACUCAUCAAAUGGAGUUUUAGAGUGGUCAUUAUACUUUUCCAAUUUACUUCUUUCCUUCAUUCAGGAAUCCAGCAACAAAUAAACCCCUCUGAUUUCAAGCUUGCCUUUUAACU
rnacentral:lncRNA from 1 species